rnacentral:lncRNA from 1 species
AGUAUUCCAUUUUAAGAAAACCAGUGUUACAUUUUGAAUGCUACCUUCCAUUUCACUAGCUUUGAUGGUCAUUUUUGCUGAGGCCUCCCUGGGUGUGAUAGCCAGAGAAUCUCUAGCCUGGAAAAGAAGAAAGCAGGAGCCAGACAGGUCCUGUUGUUGCCAACCUGGGUCUGGCCUCUCCAUACACCCAGAAUUCUGUUGGACGUCAGUGUCCUUUUAUAAAAGGAAAGGAAGGAUCUGUCAUUCUUUCCAUUGUGCCAAAGCUAGCAGCUCACUUGUAGUGCUUUAAAGCUCCCGAGAAGAAAAGAUGCAUUAUUACCACGGGUGUGAGGAAGUUCAGAGGGACUACUUCCCCAAAGUUCUGUUAGCUCAGACUGACUCAUUUAGGUGGUUUUAGCCCAAGGAAUCAGUGACCUUUUUCAUUAGAGUAUCAAGACUGUAACACUAGAGAAGUUUCCAGCCUGCUCCAAACGUGCCAAAUGGAAACUCUGUGGGCUGCUGGCCCAGCAGGAGGCAGGACUCUUCCCUUAAGCCUCAUGGUCCACGGUGGAGUGAAGGUUGGCUGGAGGAAGUGAAGGGAGGUAGCUCUUGUGUUCUGGCGUCAUGGCUCAGGCCCUUGAGGCUGCUGCUCCCACUUCUCUGCUCUGUGCUGAGUGUUGUUCACAUGAAGCAGACAGUUGUCCUGGGUGGAGUUGUCACUGUGUCCCGUUGUCCCAGUCUACUGUAGGCAUUUGGUUAGUAUCUGUUUCCAGAACUGCGCACCGUGAGUUCUGAGAGUUUGUGAGAAAGUCGGGAGGUUAAUGUAGGAGAUGAUGUUCCCAGUGGCCCCGAUACUCCCUGAGAUGGUGCUAAACUGUGCUCCGAGAAGCAUCUUUCACUUAGACUGCUCUCGAGGCAUAGGCUCCCUCCUCAAUGGCAGCGGCAUCUGAAGAGUGGCUUGGAAGUGUGUGCUGUGUUGUCUUGCAGAUGUAGUGAUAGGAAGGCCCAGAGAGGAGCUGGCUUCAGCCCUAAGCCCUCUGGCCACACAGCUCUGGGCCACAUUUGUACCUAAGCCCUUUUACUGCUUAACGUUUUAAAACUCCUUUCAGAAAAAAAUUGAUCCCUGCUGCUACAGGAGGGGGAACACAAGCUGAACUUCAAAUAAAUCUUGUUCAUUGGUAACAAAGUUAUACUAGGAAAAAAUUCCAUGCCAUUG